UACGGAGGGGGGCUAGCGUUGUUCGGAAUUACUGGGCGUAAAGCGCACGUAGGCGGCUUUGUAAGUUAGAGGUGAAAGCCCAGGGCUUAACCCUGGAAUUGCCUUUAAGACUGCAUCGCUAGAAUCGUGGAGAGGUGAGUGGAAUUCCGAGUGUAGAGGUGAAAUUCGUAGAUAUUCGGAAGAACACCAGUGGCGAAGGCGACUCACUGGACACGUAUUGACGCUGAGGUGCGAAAAGCGUGGGGGAGCCAAAC
rnacentral:rRNA from 1 species